CGUCUCUGUGUGAGAGUCUAUAAUGUUUACUUUUAGUGUAUUUUUUUUUUUUAUCAUUAUUCGUUAAAACUGAUAAUAUAUUAUUAUACAUUAUUAUGUUUCCUGCGUAACGUCCCGACGAAAAUAUUCAUCGUUUAAUAACACGCCGCGUAUGAUUAUUAUUAUUUAACUCUAAAACAGUCGGCUAUACGGGAUAUUAAUGUACUAUAAUAAUAUAUCGGUAAAAAUGUUCGCGUACCCAUGCGAUAGUAAUAUAGUAAAAUAGUUACACACGAAUUUUCGUAUCUCGUCUCAUCGGGAAAAAAAAAAAAAAAAAAAAAAAAAAAAAAAAAUUAAAAAUAAAAACCGG